AACGGCCAUACCAUGCUGAAUAUACCGGUUCUCGUUAGAUCACCGAAGUCAAGCAUCAUUGGGCGCGGUCAGUACUUGGGUGGUGACCGCGUG
rnacentral:rRNA from 1 species